rnacentral:lncRNA from 1 species
UUACAAUUUUCCUUAUUGGAUUGAUUUUUGUGGAAUGACCUUAUUCCACAUUAACUAUAGAACAGUUUGAAGCCAAUCUAAUUCAUAUGAAAACUUAAUUUCCCCCCAUUUCAUAGUCGUUAUUCCAACACACUUUCAUCAAGAAUUCAUUCAAACCCAAAAAAGAUGAAACGAAAAGUAAAAAGAAAAAAGAAAACAAAACAACAUUUCAUCAAGAAUUCAAUCAAACCCAA